UCGGUGCCGACGCACAGGCGCUCGCUUCCGGUAGCCGCCGGCAAGUUCGACCAGGCCAUGCGUACAAAUGGAUCAGCAGCGCCGGUGUAGAUAGCAGAAUAAUCCUCCUGUCGGAGGCGGCGGCAGCAAAUUGUUGGCGCGGCGACGGCAGCGAGAGAUUGUCCGAAGCCGGGGAGCAGCGCUCCCAUGCGGCCACGUACGAGCAGAGCACGCUGCAUUGAUUGGCUGGGGCAGAGCAUGUGGAGGGCUAGUUAGCUUAUGCAUGAAGAGGAAACGACAUGUAUGGUGGGUUGCAAGGCAAAAGCCAAUGACAGAUGUGUGCUCAAACUUCUAUUAAAUUUAGUCAUGAGGGGUUGCAAUUUGCGACCUUUUUUUCCGUCCCCUUUGUAUGUCUGCUAUAGAAAGUAAGGUGUUUGAUUUAAGGCAAUGUGUGUCCUAUCAAAACCUGGCCAUCAAAAUUUUCAACAGGGAUUCUCUUGGCCAAUAUCGGUCAGGUCCCUAAACUUCAACA